rnacentral:tRNA from 1 species
CUGUGGGUAUAGCUCAGUGGUAGAGUGUUUGCCUAACAUGUGCAAGACCCUGGGUUCAAUCCCCACCACAGG